CACGUAGGCGGAUAUUUAAGUCAGGGGUGAAAUCCCAGAGCUCAACUCUGGAACUGCCUUUGAUACUGGGUAUCUUGAGUAUGGAAGAGGUAAGUGGAAUUCCGAGUGUAGAGGUGAAAUUCGUAGAUAUUCGGAGGAACACCAGUGGCGGAGGCGGCUUACUGGUCCAUUACUGACGCUGAGGUGCGAAAGCGUGGGGAGCAAACA
rnacentral:rRNA from 1 species